rnacentral:lncRNA from 1 species
GAUUUUGCAUUUAUAAGAAGUUUGAGUGAUAGAGGAAGUGUAUAGGAUGAUGUGGACAUUUUGCGUAGAAGACGUGUGAGAAACCUCGGCCAUUGUUAGCUCUGUGUUGAGAUUGACAGUUUUUGAAGCUUUGUGGAGCAGAGGUGCACCAUGGCUUGCCACAAGGUCACAACUGGUCCCUGGAGAGCCGCUGGUGGUGACGGGCUGCUUGUGCCCUCUCUGCGGCAAACCUCCACAAAUACUCCACUCACCAAGUUCCAGAGGGAGAGGAUCACCGGCCGUACUAAAGGAAGUGGCUCUAUGUAGGGAUGGAACAUGGCAACUGCACCA